GACGAUUCUUUGAACGAAUUACACGAUUUUCGCUAUUUAUAAAUUUAGCGUGUUUAAAAAGAACAUCACUUCGGAUUAAAUAAUAUAUUUAGAAAACAUCAUUCAAUAAAAAAUGUGUGGAGGGAAUCAGGUUGACGACGAUGAGAGCUCAGGAGAGAAAUACGGCAAGCCAAAAGAACACAAGAAGGAUUUUAAAGGACCUAUAAAGAACAGGUCAUGUACAGAUAUCAUAUGUUGCUUACUGUUCGUCAUAUGUGUUACUGGAAUGGUAGUGGUGUCCGCUGUAGGAUUUGGCUACGGUGACCCGAAAAAAUUGGUAUAUCCGACAGAUUCUGAUGGGAACAUGUGUGGUGUUGGUGACUAUGCGUCAAAACCUUAUUUGGCAUAUUUCGAUAUUUUGCAAUGUACGAAGGUCGGUGUUUAUGCUAUAGCAGCAGGAUGUCCAACUCCGUCGGUCUGUGUCGCGUCUUGUCCAUCAACUUACUGGGUUUACUUGGAGUUGGAAGCUUUAGUUACAUUAACAACGGCAACUACUUCAGAUUAUGAUAAACUGUUGUGUAAAAAUAGUGUGACAGAUGCACAAACACUCAUAGUUGCUAGUGCAAGUGUGGGAACAAAAGUAAAGGACACGGUGAUAGACACAGAUUUAUGUGCUGCCUACUAUGUGCCUACAACAGAUCUUGUUGGUCGUUGUAUCCCGUCUGUAUUUAUUGAUGGAUUAGACUACGCUGCCACCAUGGUAUCAUCUAGUGGCAGCUACAACCUCACCAGUAAAGAUGGAAUUGAUAUAAAUGGGGAUGUCUUAAACACAGCGAGUCAGUACCUUGCUAAGUUUUAUGCAUUAAAGAAUUAUGCAGAAUUAGUGUUUAAAGAUUGUAUCAAUGCAUGGUGGCUUAUUCUUGCGUGUCUGGGAGGUGCAGCAGUGUUCUGUUUUAUCUGGAUCAUAUUGCUGAGAUUUAUUGCUGGAAUUAUAGUGUGGGCCACACUCGUACUCUUCCUUGGAGUCUGGGCAUUUGGAACAUAUUACAGCUUUGAUAGAUACUACUACCUGAAGAACAAUGGAAAUCCUGCCGAACAGUAUGAUGUUGCUCCAUUAUUUGCCGGGGAAUUCAACUACUAUCUGGGCCUAAAGAAAACAUGGCUGGCUUUUGCUUGCACGUGUUCCACAUUGCUGUUGAUAUUUCUGCUGAUAUUUCUCUUCCUGGUGAAGAGGAUUUGUAUUGCUAUAGAACUCAUCAAAGAGUCUAGCAGAGCUAUAGGAAACAUGAUAUUCACCCUGAUAUGGCCUGUGUUCCCAUUCCUAAUGCAGCUGGCAUUCUUUGCUUACUACGUAGUGAGUGCAGCAUAUGUGGCCUCCAUGGGUGCCUCACAGUUCUACAACAAUGCUACCAACACAACAGAUGAUGGAGGUGUGACUUAUUACCUUAAACGUGCUCCAUGUGAUGUUAAUGACCAAAAUACAGGAGAAGUGUGUGAGUUUGUGAAAUAUGGAGGUGAUGAGUAUACAAUUCCACUUGAAGUGUUCCUGUUGUUUAUGUUUUUCUGGGGAAUGAACUUCAUUGUGGCCCUCGGACAGAUGACCCUUGCUGGGGCUUUUGCCUCCUACUACUGGGCGUUUGAGAAACCCAAGGAUAUACCAGCAUUCCCUCUGACUGGGUCUAUUUACCGCUCACUCAGAUUUCAUAUGGGAUCACUAGCAUUUGGUUCAUUACUGAUUGCUAUUGUUCAGAUGAUCCGUGUGUUCCUCGAGUACCUGGACCACAAGUUAAAAGGAUCAGGAAAUGCUGUGGCUAAAUUCUUCCUCAAAUGUUUAAAAUGUUGCAUGUGGUGUCUGGAAAAAUUCUUAAGAUUCCUCAACAAGAAUGCCUAUAUUCUGAUUGCUAUUUAUGGGAAGAAUUUCUGUGCCUCUGCUAAAGAUGCAUUUUUCCUUAUUAUGAGAAAUGUUGUCAGGGUAGUGGUGUUAGACAAGGUUACAGACUUUGUCCUGUUCAUCAGCAAGUUGCUGUGUGUAUCAGCUGUAGGGGUCGCUUCAUUUUUCUUCUUCAACGGAGACAUCUCGUAUCUCAGUGAAUAUGUCCCCAAGCUCAACUACUUCUUCACACCAGUCAUUUUGGUAGUGUUGGGUACCUACCUGAUAGCCUCGUGUUUCUUCAGUGUAUACAGUAUGGCGGUGGAUACAUUGUUCCUGUGUUUCUUGGAGGACUUGGAAAUGAAUGAUGGAACACCAGAGAAACCAUACUACAUGAGCAAAGGCCUUAUGAAAAUCAUCGGCAAGAAAAACAAACAACUGAAAGAACCAGGUGGUAAUUCUAGGAAGAAGUCGUAUAUUCACAACUAAACAUGUAAGGCGGUACACUUGAACUUGAAAUAUGCACUUUGUGGGUUUUGAUUAUGGUUCUAUAAUAUCACCUUAUUUCCUUGUUCAUUCAAAAAAGGCUUUGUCUAAUAAUGACAUGAUGUGUCUAAUUUAAUCAAAGUUUAAUCAAGUCAUACAUAGGGAAAUUUAUUAACAAGGAAGUGACUAAUGUACACAGGUAUUGUUUUUCUUUUCUGGUAUGAAGAAAAACGGUUUUGAACAUUUUAUUAAAAAAAAUAUAUAACUUGAUGAAAUUUGGUCCUUUCAGCUUUGAUCUCUUUGAAAACCUUAUGUCCCAACAUUUAAUUUCCUUACAAGUGUUAAAUGUUAUUAUGAGUUUAAUAGAUAAUAUAUUUGGCUGUCGAAUAUUCUUGAGCAUUGACUGUAUUAUGACUAAAAAUAAUGGGCAAAAAUGGGCCUAUUUUCAGCAGUGCCUGUUUGUUUUGUCAUCUCUAAAAAUGAAUUAAGAUGCAUACAGUGAGUGAGUGAGUUGGGUUUUACGGCGAAUUGACACAAAAUGGUUAUAUAUCGCCGAGGAGAUGCAUACAGACUGUAACAGACUGUAAGGGUAUAGGUUAAUUAUUUGAGACGAGUUUUAGCAAUAGCCUUUCAUGGUUGUUCUGUAUUUUGUGUUGAUCUUGAUCUUGUCACUCUUUCAGUCGGUACUUUGGCUUCUGAGAAAAAGACUGAUGAAAUGAUUCUAGCUGAAAUCUAAAACUUUUUAUCUGUAAGGAAACAUAUCACAAAUUUUCAUGCAGUGUUUUUUUCCGGCAUGGUUGCACACAAUUUGGGGUAUUUGGAGAACAAAUCGGCUGCUGUUAUGUGUUUAAAUGAAAAUCUAUUCUUUUGAAUACACAUGUACAUUUUUUAUUGUUUUACCUUGCUCUUUAAAGUUUAUGAUUGUAUGAACUUCAUCACUUUAUGAACUGCAAUGCUUGUAUGAACUUUAUCCCUGUAUGAACUAUAUUUGACCUCAGCAGCUGAUUUUUCAUUAAUAUUGACAUAAGAUGGUGAUUUGUUUUAAAUAUUAACUUUUCAUUAUCCAUUCUUUACAUUCCAAAAAAAAAUAUAUUUAUUCAUGACCUAUUUCGCGAUAUAGACUUUCCCAUCCAUUAUUGGAAUAUCGGAAGAAAAAAAACCCUCACUAUGAUAGAAUGUCUUGGUACAAAAUCCAGUAAGAUGUAUUAUGUUUAUAAAAAAAGUCACCAUUUUGUCAUACCAUGUGUUUGUAUGUAUUUCCUGCAUGUGUUUUUGUUAUUGAACUGCUGUGAUAAUUUUUUUUGUCAUGUUUUAAAACAGGAAAAUACAAGGAAAAUCAAAUAGAAUCAAAUGAGGCCUGUUUUGGCUGUGUUAUCAGCUGAGAGUAACUAUAAGGAACUAGCAUCGAAGAACCCAGAAAUUUCUUGGAUAUGACUGCUGAGGAUGUUCAGUAACUGAGAAAACACUUGUUCCAUUUUCAGUCAUGUCUGGAAUGUAACCUAGUCUGGCAUGUAACCAGGCAUGUCUUAACAGUUACACAGUGAUUAAUGUUACAUUCAUUCCAUUCUGGUAAAGUCUAUCAUGGCAUGUAACCAUGUAUACAGUGCCUUAAGAGUAACAACAUGAUAAAUGUUACAUUCAUUCCAUUGUAGUCAUAUAACUAUGUAGUCAGUGUCUUAAUGUAACACCCUGAUUAUGGUUACACUCAUGUCAUGUAACAAGGCAUAUGUGUUUUUUGACACUGUGAUUAAUGUUACUCUCAUGCUCACUUGGAUGUAGCUUAUUACUUUCACAUGUGUGCACUUUUCUAAAUAUACCAUAAUGUAGAAAUUAUUAUUUUCAUACUAAGACAUUAAGUGAUAGAUAAGUACUAUGAAUACAUUCCAAUUAAAGAAUGAGUGUGUUUUUGAACGAUUCAGAAAUGUGACAUGUUGUAGGAUUUUCUGUAUAGUUGUAUUUUUUUUUAAACAGGACAUACACUUGGCAUUUGUGCAGCAUAUUAAAAAAAAAGAAAGAGAAAGAAAUAGAUAUCAGAAGGAAUUGACUUUGCAGAAAUACAUGUAUAUAACAUUAUCACAAAUCAGCAUUAUAAUUAUGAUAAUUUUUUGUGAUGUUUAUCGGGUUCAUUUAUUUUGAUAUAUUCCAUUUUUUUAAGUAUUGAUUUCUUUUGUAAAGUUUUGUACAUCUCCCACAGUUGUCAGAUGCAUGAAUUUAUUGUAGACAGGAAAUCCAAAAUGUUUUUAUUUUUGCAGGAUACCAAUUUCUUUUGUACUUUUUUAGAAUAACUUUGAAUUUUUGAAAGACAGCAGUGGCUUUGUGCAAUAAGCCCCUGGCAUUAAUUUUGUUACUUAGAAUCAAUGUGGUCUUUUAUAAUGUAUUAAUUCAGUUUUUACCAGUAUAUAUGUGUUUCAAAACCAGAUGUGUUUGAAGCCAGAAUGUUGUACCUCUGUUUUAGAUAAUUUGGCUGGCUUUAUGUUACACGUUCUUGAUUCAUCUUGGAUUGAAAAUGCCCAUCUUUGGCUGGUCCAAAGUGGCUGUAUAAUAUAUUACCUGUUUGUUGUUAUGCCCCACAUAUUUAUGUUGGGGGGAGGGAUUGGUGGGGGAUGGGGGCAUAUAGCAUUGCUACUGUCCGUACAUCCCAAAAUCUUGUGUCCAAGUCCUUCCACACUAUUACCCUGAUUUGCUUAUAACUUUCACAUAUGAACAAGCUAGAUGAGCAGAUAACCAUUAAGGAAGGUACUAUUGCAGUGACUAUUUAACUGACAGUUUUGCUAUAUAGAUUACAGAGAAAAAUUCUUCAUGUCAAGACGGUCUUUACUAAAAACUUUGCUGUUUAGAGGAUGGCACAGUAUGUGGGGGCAUCCAUGUCCAAUUGACACAAGUCUAGUUUUUAUUCUGGUAUAAUAUUGGAUUUUUCUAGAUAUCAAUAUACGCUGGAAUGGCUGUAACAUAAAGAGAAUGAUGCCUCCUUGGUAAAAGAAAGAGAAAUUGAAAGAAUAAGAUAAAUUUGUAUGUAGAAUUAAGAAUGCAAAAAAAGUUAUCUUAAGAUUUGAGUUAUAAUUUAAAAAAAAAAAAGAUUUCAUAUAUCAUGAUUUUUUUUUAUUUCUGUUUACACUGAUACCAUUUCAAAUUAUUUUUCUGAAAUAUUGUAUGUAUUUGUGGUUUUUAAAAUUUUUAUGUACAAAUUUUAGUUGAGAUACCAAUGUAUAAAUACUUUUGUACAGUGUGUUGAUACAUCUUGUUUCUUCUAUGAGAGUUUUAGAUACAAAUUUUGUCUCCCCCAUAGGUGGGGGAGACAUUGUUUUUGCCUUCGCCUUCUUUCCGUCUGUCGGUCCCUCCAUCCACAUUAAGCUUGUCUGGCAGACUGGCUUUCACAGGUCAAACUGCUGGAUGGAUUUCAAUGAAACUUCACAGGAGUGAUCAGUACCAAGCCUAGUUGUGUAUAUUGCUGACGCGUUCUGCUUCGCUGCACAAAAUGGCCUCCAGGUCUAAAGGUAUACAUAGAGGAGAGACAUAUGUUUUUGUUACAAAAACACCUUCUAGUUUUCUAUAUUUCUAAAAAUAACAGAAAAUCCAGUAAAUUUGUAAUAAAAUAUAGAGAAUCUUGCUCAUUGUUUAUUUUAAAGUUGAUAUCUUAUGUUAGAUACAUUCCAUGAAAGCAUCCAUAAAAAAAAGCACCAAAGAAAAUUUUAUAGUUACUUUUUAUCAUUUAUCUGAUAUUAUUAACACCAGAGUUGUAAUAUUGAUUUUAAAUUGCUUUUUAAUAUUAUGUUGUGUUAAUGUUUGUAGACAAUACAGAACUUUUCAUUGUUUUUAUUUUGAUAUAUAAAAUUUUACUAAGUUUCGAAUUAACAGCAAGUUACAUAUGUUUUGUGCAUGAAUGAAGUUUUAAAAAAAAUUGGUUAAAAAGCAGUUUGUCUGAUCACAUUUGCCAGCAUAAGACAUACCUACACAUCAGAAAAUACAUAUUAUGUUUAAGAAAUGUUUUGCUGUUCAAUCCUAAAAGUGAUUGUGAUACCACUGUAUCUUUAUUCUAUGACUUUUAUGAAUUCUUUAAUAAAAUACGUCUCAGAACACUG